rnacentral:tRNA from 1 species
AAAAAAUUAGUUAAACUUAUAACAUUAGUUUGUCAAACUAAAAUUAUUAAAAAAUUAAUAUUUUUUA